GAUGAACGCUGGCGGCGUGCUUAACACAUGCAAGUCGAGCGAUGAAGUUUCCUUCGGGAAACGGAUUAGCGGCGGACGGGUGAGUAACACGUGGGUAACCUGCCUCAUAGAGUGGAAUAGCCUUCCGAAAGGAAGAUUAAUACCGCAUAACGUUGAAAGAUGGCAUCGUCAUUCAACCAAAGGAGCAAUCCGCUAUGAGAUGGACCCGCGGCGUAUUAGCUAGUUGGUGGGGUAACGGCCUACCAAGGCGACGAUGCGUAGCCGACCUGAGAGGGUGAUCGGCCACAUUGGGACUGAGACACGGCCCAGACUCCUACGGGAGGCAGCAGUGGGGAAUAUUGCACAAUGGGGGAAACCCUGAUGCAGCAACGCCGCGUGAGUGAUGAAGGUUUUCGGAUCGUAAAGCUCUGUCUUUGGGGAAGAUAACGACGGUACCCAAGGAGGAAGCCACGGCUAACUACGUGCCAGCAGCCGCAGUAACAC
rnacentral:rRNA from 1 species